CAGUAGCCGCGGUAAUACGGAGGGUGCAAGCGCUAAUCGGAAUUACUGGGCGUAAAGCGCACGCAGGCGGUUUGUUAAGUCAGAUGUGAAAUCCCCAGGCCCAACCUGGGAACUGCAUCUGAUACUGGCAAGCUUGAGUCUCGUAGAGGGGGGUAGAAUUCCAGGUGUAGCGGUGAAAUGCGUAGAGAUCUGGAGGAAUACCGGUGGCGAAGGCGGCCCCCAGGACGAAGACUGACGCUCAGGUGCGAAAGCGUGGGGAGCAAACAGGAUUAGAUACCCCUGUAGUCCCUGUCUCUUAUAC
rnacentral:rRNA from 1 species